CCUACGUGAGGCAGCAGUGAGGAAUAUUGGUCAAUGGACGCAAGUCUGAACCAGCCAUGCCGCGUGCAGGAAGACGGCUCUAUGAGUUGUAAACUGCUUUUGUACGAGGGUAAACGCAGAUACGCGUAUCUGUCUGAAAGUAUCGUACGAAUAAGGAUCGGCUAAUUCCGUGCCAGCAGCCGCGGUAAUACGGAGGAUUCAAGCGUUAUCCGGAUUUAUUGGGUUUAAAGGGUGCGUAGGCGGUCGGAUAAGUUAGAGGUGAAAUCCCGAGGCUCAACUUCGGAAUUGCCUCUGAUACUGUUCGGCUAGAGAGUAGUGGCGGUAGGCGGAAUGUAGGGUGUAGCGGUGAAAUGCUUAGAGAUCAUACAGAACACCGAUUGCGAGGGCAGCUUACCAAGCUACAUCUGACGUUGGGGCACGAAAGCGUGGGGAGCAAACAGGAUUAGAUACCGGGUAGUC
rnacentral:rRNA from 1 species